UUCAGGUAUCAAAGGGACACGUCCUGAAGAAUGCAGUGAUAACACUAAAGUUAUAGAAGCCUACAAUAACGAUGGGUGCGGUUGGAAAGCUCAGCUCUUUACGGUAGAGAUUGGGUGUAGGGGCUUUUGGCACUACAUACUGUUCCAGCUCUACCGCGGAGCUACUUUGAACUUACGAAGAGAACGAAGAAGAAAGUAUACUUAUAAAUGAGGCUGCUUUGGUCGCUCUUCGAUGUUCCUAUGCCAUCUGGUUAGCCCGUGACAGUAAGAAAUGAUCUACCUUCUACGACAACGCAAAACAUGUGAAAGCUGCAACCAGGAUCGCAAGUACUGGUGGAAUACAGUAAGAGUAACACUAGAUGCUGACUAGAUGUAUAGAUGGAGUUGCUAUCGAACGAUAUAGAUAACUCAGGAGACGAUAUAUUUUUGGUCAGAAAUUUGCGGAGUUCUUUCGUUUUGCCAUCAGUCUUGGCUGUAAUUGUAUCUCUCAAAAUCAGUGACGGUUCGAGGAGACACUGCAUUUCACUGCUCGGUGACGACACGGGGAUAUAAUAUGAGGCUGUUAUCUCUCUUAGAGUCCACUGCACGUCGUCACAGAGCCUCAGUCCAAUCAAAGCAAGCAGCAAAGAUCAAAAAAGACUUUACGUCCA